UACGGAGGGAGCUAGCGUUGUUCGGAAUUACUGGGCGUAAAGCGCGCGUAGGCGGCUUUGCAAGUUAGAGGUGAAAGCCCGGAGCUCAACUCCGGAACUGCCUUUAAAACUGCAUAGCUUGAAUCCGGGAGAGGUGAGUGGAAUUCCGAGUGUAGAGGUGAAAUUCGUAGAUAUUCGGAAGAACACCAAUGGCGAAGGCAGCUCGCUGGGACGUGACUGACGCUGAGACGCGAAAGCGUGGGGAGCAAACAGG
rnacentral:rRNA from 1 species